UUCCGGUUGAUCCCGCCGGACCUGACUGCUAUCGGAUUGAUACUAAGCCAUGCGAGUCAUUGUAGCAAUACAAGGCAGACGGCUCAGUAACGCGUAGUCAACCUAACCUAUGGACGGGAAUAACCUCGGGAAACUGAGAAUAAUGCCCGAUAGAACACUAUACCUGGAAUGGUUUGUGUUCCAAAUGAUUUAUCGCCGUAGGAUGGGACUGCGGCCUAUCAGUUUGUUGGUGAGGUAAUGGCCCACCAAGACUAUUACAGGUACGGGCUCUGAGAGGAGUAGCCCGGAGAUGGGUACUGAGACACGGACCCAGGCCCUAUGGGGCGCAGCAGGCGAGAAAACUUUGCAAUGUGCGAAAGCACGACAAGGUUAAUCCGAGUGAUUUGUGCUAAACGAAUCUUUUGUUAGUCCUAGAACCACUAACGAAUAAGGGGUGGGCAAGUUCUGGUGUCAGCCGCCGCGGUAAAACCAGCACCUCAAGUGGUCAGGAUGAUUAUUGGGCCUAAAGCAUCCGUAGCCGGCUCUGUAAGUUUUCGGUUAAAUCUGUACGCUUAACGUACAGGCUGCCGGGAAUACUGCAGAGCUAGGGAG
rnacentral:rRNA from 1 species